UGUACACUCUUAAAAAUACUGGGUUAUUUUAUUAACCCAACCACUGGGUUGAGGCUGUUUAACCCUGUAUUAUGUAUAUUCAACCCAUAUUGGGUUACUUUCAGUAACCCAGUAGCUGGGUUAAUGGUUUUGGACUGUGCCUUGAUCUGAAUAACCCAACCAAUGGUCAUUUUAACCCAGUGGUUUGGUUACAUUCAAGUUUGGGUUCCUCCUCCAACGGUCUUUUUCUUUUCUCCGAGGCGGGAGACCACUCAUGGAAACACUGAAGCGAUUAAAUAUAGAGGACUUUGUUAAACUAAAGUUAACAGAACAGCAACUUCUGGAGCUGAUGACACUUUUGCAGGCUCCAAAGACUACAUUGCCCUGAUGGUUCUGCCAAGCCUGACCUGCAGUCUUCAGGAUGGGCCGAAAGACCGUGAGGACUACAGUGUCUGACGCCAUGAAGGCCUUCAUCGAUCUUAAGCCUGUCGGAGCCAACAUGGUGGAGUACCUUCAGGCAGCAGAGCAGACCAGACCAUACCCCUGCACCCUGGUGUUGGGAGGCGAGGACUGCUGCUCUCAGGCAUUCACCGUUCGCCCUGGAGCACGACAGCGUUGUCCAAGCUGUACAUGUUUGUGUCAAAUGUUUUUAUGUGUUUGAUAUCAAUUUCCCAAAGCAGUGUUUUCUCUGCUUAGCAGUUCCUCCAGAAAGAAUGGGGGGGGGGUGGUAGUAAUGUGGCCCCAUGCAUUUGUUUUUUGGAAAUGCUCAUGCGAUAAGGGAAUUCUCUCUCUCUCUGUCUCUCUCUAAUAUUUAGGAGGAAUAUUAGGAGGAAAUGAAUUAUUGUUAAUUGUUGCUUGGUAUUAGUCCAGUUAUUUGAUACUCAUUUUGAAAUGAGGUAGGGGUAAUGUGGCCCCAUGCAUUUCUUCUUUGGAAACGCUCAUGUGAUAAGGGAAUUGGACUUGUUAUUGUUAUUCCAGUUUUUCUCUUUAAAUGAGUAAAUUAAAUAUUGUUCAAUAAAAUCAGUGACAUUAA